ACUGAAAACAGAAAUAAUUGCUGAUAAUUGAUUCAAAUUGUUGACAACCAAAUAAAGUAAUAAAUAAAUUACGAACAUGUUUUACUGUGUAUGGAGAAGGAUUCAUAAACGGUCUUAGAUCAAUCAUGUGGAUCUACUACAGGAAAACCAUUAAAUGUUACACAUUUAAGUAGUUCCAAUAUAUGCCCCACAUUUUCUACUGUUUUUAAUGUCACCACUGGAUGACUCAUUAUCUCACUGGCAUAUAUGUUAUUUGAUAACGGUGGGGCUUCCCAUGCUAAU